UUGAAAUGUGGUGGGGACCCCAGGGUCAAGGUCCGCCGGGAAAUCCAGACUGACCCCUUCACCCUCGGUGGGCAGGUGGUCUCAGUUAAGCCCCUUUGCCUGUUCUGUCCUCCAUCUUUCAUCCAUCUCCCCAUCCCUCCCACCUCAUUUCUCCUCCCACUUCAGCAUACAUGCCCAGGUCUGGAAGUGAUGGGAGCGCGUGGUCCUGCUGGUCCAGUGGUGCUGCCUUAAGAGUGACUGUUCAUAGCCUCCUCAAACAUGGUGCCAUCUGGUACCCCAGUAUCUUUGGUUAACCUAGUUCCUCAGCCUCCAUUUACUAUUCUUCAACAUUUAAUAAAGGUUUUCUGAAUAUUUAUUAUGUAC